GAAGGGAUGAUGUACAGGGCUCA
rnacentral:piRNA from 1 species